rnacentral:rRNA from 1 species
UAGGGAAUCUUCGGCAAUGGGGGCAACCCUGACCGAGCAACGCCGCGUGAGUGAAGAAGGUUUUCGGAUCGUAAAGCUCUGUUGUAAGAGAAGAACGUGUGUGAGAGUGGAAAGUUCACACAGUGACGGUAACUUACCAGAAAGGGACGGCUAACUACGUCCCAUCAGCCGCGGUAAUCCGUAGGUCCCGAGCUUUUUCCGGAUUUUUUGGGCGUAAAGCGAGCGCAGGCGGUUUAAUAAGUCUGAAGUUAAAGGCAGUGGCUUAACCAUUGUUCGCUUUGGAAACUGGUAAACUUGAGUGAAGAAGGGGAGAGUGGAAUUCCAUGUGUAGCGGUGAAAUGCGUAGAUAUAGGGAGGAACACCGGUGGCGAAAGCGGCUCUCUGGUCUGUAACUGACGCUGAGGCUCGAAAGCGUGGGGAGCAAACAGG